GUGCUCGGCCGGUCUUGCAGGCCCCGUCGGCCACCCGCGCCCUUGGUCCCGCCUCGGAGCCUCGGCCCCAGCUCCGGCCCCGACACGGGAGCUGCUCUUCCCUCGCGGAAGCGGUGCCGCCUGGCCCGCGGCAGCGCAGACGCCCUGCCUUGCCCUCAGGCUGGCCGGGCCGCCUGUGGCCGGAGAAAGCCCCAUUGUGGCCUGAGUGCGCCCCGCAGCCAGUCGGGAUUUCUCUCGCAGAGAGAGGCCUUUGUUCGCCUCACCCCAUCUGACUGCCCCGUGCUCUGUCCCAGCCUCAUUUGCUCCCCAAGCCCCAACCUGGGUUCCUGCUCUGGCAACAAGGAGCAGGCUGUUCCCGCCGCAGCAGAAUAUAAAGUGCUGAAGCCAGAACCCAGACUGGGACGCAAGGCCCAGAACCUGCGCAGGGGCCACCGGCAAUCGGCCACCAUGCCCCUGCCCUGCUGUGCCUCGACUUACCCAUCUGCUGCUGGGGAGCAGCCUGUGGGCCUGGAGUCUCCAGGAGCCACGGUCCCUGCAAGGAGCAGAAGCCUGGCGGAGAGAAAGAACCUCCAUGGGAGGUGGAGGACAAGUGAUGGGGACAGAGUACUGGCAGCAGGGAGUUCCUAUUCAGCAUCCUCAUAGCCAGUUCCUCUUAGCCCUUCCUUACCUCGCCCGUUAAUCCGGUUUGUGCCUAAGCUACUACAUGCUGGGUUUCUGUCACUUUCAAUUAAGAGGCUCCUCACCAAUACACAGAUCAUGUGGAAAAUCCCAGUAAAGGAAAACUGACAUUUGUCAGAUGCCCACUGUUAAAUGCUGUUUUUGAAAAAUAUGCAUUAUUGCCGGGAACAGUGGCUCACGCCUGUAAUCCCAACACUUUGGGAGGCUGAGGCAGGUGGAUCACCUGAGGUCAGGAGUUCAAGACCAGCCUGGCCAACAUGGUGAAACUCCAUCUCUACAAAAACACAAAAAUUAGCUGGGCAUGAUGGCCGGUUCCUGUAAUCCCAGCUACUCGGGAGGCUGAGGUGGGAGAAUUGCUUGAACCUGGGAGGUGGAGGUUGCAGUGAGCUGAGAUGGCACUAUUGCAUUCCAGCCUGGGCGACAGAGUGAGACUCUGUCUCAAAAAAAAAAAAAAAAAAAAAGCAUUAUUGACCACAGCAUCUCUGUGAGGCAAAUGGAAGAACCACUUUGCAGAUGAGGAAACACUUUUUUGUGUUUGGAGACACUAAGGGCCACAGUGUCCACUUGUGCAGGACUCCACAGGGUGGGCCAGCCUGCUUCUAGGCACGGAGUCAGUGGGCCUUGCCUGUCCUGAGACCCCUCAGCCAGACUCUACCCAUGAAGACCUUUGCUCUGUGUCUGGGUCCUUCCUGGAGGACUCUGGGCCUUCUGUGGUCUGAGUCUUGGAGCACUGUUAUAUUGCCGUGCUGUUCAGCUCUGGCAGUCACUCCAGUUGGAGGGUCUAUGCCCCUCUGUCCUUGUGCCCUUUUUUCCGCUUUCUUUAAAAAAUGUUUAAAAAUUAUUUUUUAUUUUAUUGUU
rnacentral:lncRNA from 1 species